rnacentral:rRNA from 1 species
UAGGGAAGAAGCGAAAGUGACGGUACCUGCAGAAGAAGCGCCGGCUAACUACGUGCCAGCAGCCGCGGUAAUACGUAGGGCGCAAGCGUUGUCCGGAAUUAUUGGGCGUAAAGAGCUCGUAGGCGGUUUGUCGCGUCUGCUGUGAAAGCCCGGGGCUCAACCCCGGGUCUGCAGUGGGUACGGGCAGACUAGAGUGCAGUAGGGGAGACUGGAAUUCCUGGUGUAGCGGUGAAAUGCGCAGAUAUCAGGAGGAACACCGAUGGCGAAGGCAGGUCUCUGGGCUGUUACUGACGCUGAGGAGCGAAAGCAUGGGGAGCGAACAGGAUUAGAUACCCUGGUAGUCCAUGCCGUAAACGUUGGGCACUAGGUGUGGGGGACAUUCCACGUUCUCCGCGCCGUAGCUAACGCAUUAAGUGCCCCGCCUGGGGAGUACGGCCGCAAGGCUAAAACUCAAAGGAAUUGACGGGGGCCCGCACAAGCGGCGGAGCAUGCGGAUUAAUUCGAUGCAACGCGAAGAACCUUACCAAGGCUUGACAUUCACCGGACCGCCCCAGAGAUGGGGUUUCCCUUCGGGGCCGGUGGACAGGUGGUGCAUGGUUGUCGUCAGCUCGUGUCGUGAG